UACGUAGGGUGCGAGCGUUAAUCGGAAUUACUGGGCGUAAAGUGUGCGCAGGCGGCCGCGCAAGUCGAGUGUGAAAGCCCCGGGCUUAACUUGGGAAUUGCGCUCGAAACUACGUGGCUGGAGUGUGGCAGAGGAAGGUGGAAUUCCAGGUGUAGCGGUGAAAUGCGUAGAGAUCUGGAAGAACACCGGUGGCGAAGGCGCUCUGCUAGGCCGCAACUGACACUGAGGGACGAAAGCUAGGGGAGCGAACAGG
rnacentral:rRNA from 1 species